AUGUUAACUGUAAAAGUAUUUGUAACACAAAGGCUAAUGUUCAAAAGUAUCUGUGAGCAUAACAAUGGAGCUAAAUUGUUUCAUAUCAGAUAUGUACACACGUCAGCUACGGUAUAUGUGAUCAGAUAUGUACACACGUCAGCUAAUGUACAUGUGAUCAGAUAUGUACACAUGUCAGCUACUGUACAUGUGAUCAGAUAUGUACACAUGUCAGCUACUGUACAUAUGAUCAGAUAUGUACACACGUCAGCUACUGUACAUGUGAUCAGAUAUGUACACAAGUCAGCUAAUGUACAUGUGAUCAGAUGUGUACUCAUGUCAGCUACUGUACAUGUGAUCAGAUAUAUAAACACAUCAGCUACUGUACAUGUGAUCAGAUAUGUACACAUGUCAGCUACUGUACAUGUGAUCAGAUAUGUACACACAUCAGCUACUGUACAUGUGAUCAGAUAUGUACACCCGUCAGCUACUGUACAUGUGAUCAGAUAUAUACACACAUCAGCUACUGUACAUGUGAUCAGAUAUGUACACACGUCAGCUACUGUACAUGUGAUCAGAUAUAUACACACGUCAGCUACUGUACAUGUGAUCAGAUAUGUACACACGUCAGCUACUGUACAUAUGAUCAGAUAUGUACACACGUCAGCUAAUGUACAUGUGAUCAGAUAUGUACACACGUCAGCUACUGUACAUGUGAUCAGAUAUGUACACACGUCAGCUACUGUACAUGUGAUCAGAUAUGUACACACGUCAGCUACUGUACAUGUGAUCAGAUAUAUACACACAUCAGCUACUGUACAUGUGAUCAGAUAUGUACACACGUCAGCUACUGUACAUGUGAUCAGAUAUGUACACACGUCAGCUACUGUACAUGUGAUCAGAUAUGUACACACGUCAGCUACUGUACAUGUGAUUUGUCGCUUGACAAUACAAAUAAAUAAACCGUCAAACAUAUAUGAGCAAAGGAGAAAAAUACAAAUAUUUUUUAUAUGUAUUCUUGAACUGUUUAUUGUUGUUAUUACUCUGCUGUGUAUUAAACAAUCCGUAUAUUUUGGAUUCAGCAUUGUGUCAACUUUGGUUUAA
rnacentral:lncRNA from 1 species